rnacentral:lncRNA from 1 species
GUUAUGUUGGGUCUUAACUGACCCCAACAGUUCACACUCCUCAGACACCAAAGAAGGAAGGAAGUGUGUCCUCUGGUUACUCCUCUUGCAGCACUUACUCAAAUAUUUACUGAGGAAACAAAUACUCAGCUUUAGGAGAACGCUGGCUGUGUUAAAGAUGUGACUAAUAAUUUACGAUAGGAAAAAGUAAAUGUGAAGGUGGGGAGUGACUAAUUUCACAAAAAUCUACCCAGAACACCCUCUGCAUUAUACAAAGCAAGGGACCCAUAAUCAGGACUGCUAUACUCAUAUUUUCUGGAAAUAGCUCCAGCAGCUUGGACAGUUAUACCUGAGACUUCCAUGAAUAUCCAGAAAUGUAUUACUGCUUCUGAUGCAGUAGUUAAGAAGAUGGGCAAUGGAGUUAGGCAGACCUGGGGUUGAACUCUAGUGCUAUCCUUUUCCCAAUAUUCAUUUAUUAAAAAGUGCAAACCUCACAAAUAUGUUGCAAUGAUUAAAUGAGGGAAUAUAUACCAAGUACUGAAUAUAGUCCCUGGCACAGAUUGGGCCUAAUAAAGAAUUACCAUCACCAUAUAAAGGGACCCCUGCUCUUCUGCUUUUCUAUCCACGUUAUAGUGUUAUAUGGGCGGAGUUUUGAGUGCUCCUCAGAUAUGACUGCAGUUAGUCAUGAGUUCCCCCUUGAAGCAAAUACAAAAGUGAUAUUCUAAGAAUUGGUUACAAGAAGAAAAUACAAUACAGUAUGAGUGCUUGAAGUCCUGUGUAUCUAGAGCCUAUGAGUAUGAUGUUUCAUACUAGGCUAUAUAUAGUUACCCUAUUCUCAUCUCCACAGAACAAAAGUAAAACCAAACACCCACCACAAACCUAGCAGUAAAAUUCUCAGGUCCUUCCACUCAGGACACUAGAGAGGGCUUCCGAGCUAAGGACAAACCUACAUUCACUGAUGAAGGCACAGUGUUUAUGGCGGGAUUGCCAUGGCCACCGCAGAGGAAACCCAUUUUCCCUUUCAUGCACUGAAGGUAAGGGCAGUCAGUUUCAGUUAUGCAUUUGCUAGCUCCCUAUUCACCAAAGAUAGUUCUAUUUCUAAGGCUCUGAUAUUUAUUUCCAAAGAUUAACACAAUUAGAAGUACUUGCUGAUGGGAAGACCUGGUUGCCCACGAUAGGAAGGAAGAGGCUGCUACUGAAAGAAGACAUGGUUCCUGGGUUAAAGGUCUGGGCUGUAGUACUCUCUUCCUGUUGCUGACAGCAGGCUACUUGGAAUGUGGUGCUUCCUGUGUCUUGAACUUGCCUGGUUCAAGUCUGGACUGCUACUUUUAGUAGCAUCUGCAACUUACAAGCUUUAUAAAUAAGUGACUUAAUUUUUAAAAAUUCAAAUAUUUGGCAACUGAAACAGCUUGACUUUUCUGUCUGCCUACUUAAUUAAGCAUGUUAUCAAUGAAGAGCUUUUCUUUAAAUCCUCAGAGAUGGUAUAGUUAACAUAGAACAGUAGUCACUAUAUCUUAAGUUUAAAAAGUAAAAUGAAGAAGUCUUUAUCUGAGGGUUAUUUUCAACAAUCUAUAAAGGAGGGGAUUGUUUUAGGCAGUUAAUGAAGGCACUGAGGCAAAGAAAGGAGGGAGGAAUCAAUUCAAGUUCAGUACCCAGACCAACAAGGGGCUCUGCGGUAUUUUCUGACAGAAAGUCAGCUUGGUACCAUUAUAACUUCAUAAAAAGAUGUUCACAAAUAAGAAAACAAACUCAGAGAAAGUCUGCAGUAUUCAUCACAUAAAGAGAAAAAAAGUCCUUUAAAAAUCCAAGCCAUUAGAAGACACUUUCUGUGGAAAAUGUUUUAAAAACUGAAAAUGACUAGAUAAAGAACUAUUGGAGAAACACUUUUUCAAGAGGUUUGGCCACCCCUAAAUCACUGACUUUAUGGAAUAUUUAAUGGAAUAUAGUGCCCUAGAGCAUGGAGGUUACUCAUGAACACCUAUGCUCAGCAUAUGCUAUAAUUGUCCACCUAACGGGAAAUGCAAGGGGUUGCAAGGCUGGGAGCAACAGAGGGUCCUGGAACCUCAAAGUCCUGAGCCACAGGAAAGCUUCUCAUGGCUUCACCGUUUCCCUGAGCUGACUGCUUUAUUCCUCCCAAGUGUAACAGGCAAGGGGCGUGUCCUUCUCUAGUGUGUUCAUGCGGUUCAUGCUUUGUGAUUUCUAUAGCCAUGAAGAACCCCGACCCAAACUGCCAGGAAGACCUGCUUGAAACCUAACGCACUUAGACAUAUGGGACUAACCCUGAAAAUAAAAACAUCUUUAUGCUAAGAGGAAAGGAGUUUUUUUAAAUUAAAAAAAAUGUUUCUAGGUAUAUCAGCUUUCCUUUGGGGCUUGCUUUCAGAAUUCAGCAGCAGCUCAGGUUUACUGGGAGCAUGGAGCAUUCCGCUUGCAGAGAAGGGCUGGGUUAUGGGAACUCAGGAUUUGUGCAACAGCCUCACCACACGUGAAGGAAAACCUCUAGAGGAAUCACCAGCUACUCACGUUUCAAGAUAUUUCUUCUCUCCAGCUCUUCCACGGCAGGUCUUUGGCUCAGCCGUCUGCGGAAAAACACUAAAAUUACAUUUUGCACCAUAGUGG